rnacentral:rRNA from 1 species
GACGAACGCUGGCGGCGUGCUUAACACAUGCAAGUCGAACGGAAAGGCCCUGCUUGCAGGGUACUCGAGUGGCGAACGGGUGAAUAACACGUGGGUGAUCUGCCCUGCACUUCGGGAUAAGCCUGGUAAACUGGGUCUAAUACCGGAUAGGAGCCAUUUUUAGUGUGAUGGUUGGAAAGUUUUUUCGGUGUAGGAUGAGCUCGCGGCCUAUCAGCUUGUUGGUGGGGUAAUGGCCUACCAAGGCGGCGACGGGUAGCCGGCCUGAGAGGGUGGACGGCCACAUUGGGACUGAGAUACGGCCCAGACUCCUACGGGAGGCAGCAGUGGGGAAUAUUGCACAAUGGGCGCAAGCCUGAUGCAGCGACGCCGCGUGGGGGAUGACGGCCUUCGGGUUGUAAACUCCUUUCGCUAGGGACGAAGCUUUUUGUGACGGUACCUAGAUAAGAAGCACCGGCUAACUACGUG